UACGUAGGGGGCAAGCGUUGUCCGGAUUCAUUGGGCGUAAAGAGCUUGUAGGCGGUUCGGCAAGUCGGGUGUGAAAACUCCAGGCUCAACCUGGAGACGCCACCCGAUACUGCUGUGACUUGAGUCCGGUAGGGGACCACGGAAUUCCUGGUGUAGCGGUGAAAUGCGUAGAUAUCUGGAGGAACACCGGUGGCGAAGGCGGCAUCCUGGACCAUGACUGACGCUGAGGAGCGAAAGCCAGGGGAGCAAACGGG
rnacentral:rRNA from 1 species